rnacentral:lncRNA from 1 species
GAGCUUAAGCUUAAACAUUCUUUAAUUGUAGUUCACAUAGAGAUAUAGUGAGUUGGUUGAUUUAGGUGUUUAACGGAUUUCUAUCUUAAUUGUGGAUUGACGUUAAUACGGUAUUAGUGCAUCAAGAGGUGGCUAGUAUUACUUUCGUGUUCUUGAUUAAUAAACUGGGAUAUUAAAUUGAGUUGGAAUAACGGUUUGCAAAUCAGAGUGAAGCUCCGAGUGAAAUCAUAAGUCUAGUUCUCCAUUAAUUGUUUGAAAUUCCGGAUUUUG